rnacentral:rRNA from 1 species
ACCCAGACUCCUACGGGAGGCAGCAGUGGGGAAUAUUGCACAAUGGGGGAAACCCUGAUGCAGCGACGCCGCGUGAGCGAUGAAGUAUUUCGGUAUGUAAAGCUCUAUCAGCAGGGAAGAAGAUGACGGUACCUGACUAAGAAGCCCCGGCUAACUACGUGCCAGCAGCCGCGGUAAUACGUAGGGGGCAAGCGUUAUCCGGAUUUACUGGGUGUAAAGGGAGCGUAGACGGCGGUGCAAGCCAGAUGUGAAAGCCCGGGGCUCAACCCCGGGACUGCAUUUGGAACUGUAUGGCUGGAGUGUCGGAGAGGCAGGCGGAAUUCCUAGUGUAGCGGUGAAAUGCGUAGAUAUUAGGAGGAACACCAGUGGCGAAGGCGGCCUGCUGGACGAUGACUGACGUUGAGGCUCGAAAGCGUGGGGAGCAAACAGGAUUAGAUACCCCAGUA